UAACUAGCACUGUAAAAAAAGAAAGAAAAAAGAGCAAACAUAUUGGACAAGAAUACCCCUCAACCGUGACUCUCAAACCCUAAAAACCCUGUGCCUAUAAAAUGCAUAGAACCCCAUCUUUCUCUCAAGAAUUCACUCUCCAGGAAUCUCAUCCACUCUACAUCGGCUAAUUGAGAAAGAGAUCUACAAGGAAACAGAUACCUCUGAUCCAGGAUGAGAGCUAAGUGGAAGAAGAAGCGUAUGAGGAGGUUGAAGAGGAAGCGCAGAAAGAUGAGGCAGAGAUCCAAGUAGGCUGCGGGCUUGGACAAGAUGGAUCUUUUUUCUGCUGGUACAUGCCUAUGAUGCUUAUGGCUUUGUGCUGCGUGAAGCUGUGGGGAUGAGGGAUCUGUAUUAGGGAAUGUUUCAUCUUGUAGGGUUUUAAGACUGCUUCUGCUUUUAGUAUUCUGUUGGCUUUAAUUUUGUGUUGUAUUUGACUUCUUUACUUUAAUAUUGCUUAUGGAUGGAUUAAUGAAACUUUGUUAGAAAAUGAUUAAAACAGCAAUGAACUUCUAUAAAUUGUUUUCCACAA